UUUCAGGAAGAGGAGACUCGACUUGAAGGUCGGGGAUAUUUGGGGGAGAAUGGAUUAAUCUCUGUUUUUCACGGGAUAACUCUGGCAAUGUUUUACCUAUUUUACUUUGAAAAAAUUAGAGUGUUCAAAGCAAGGCGUUUUUGCCUAUUGAAUAUUGCAGCAUGGGAUAAUAGAAAAAGAUAGUCCGUCUUAUUUUGUUGGUUUUUUAAGAUGACAAUAAUGAUAGAAGGGGAUGGUUGGGGCGGUCUGUAUUGCCACGUCAGAGGUGAAAUUCUUAGAUUGUGGCAAGACAAACAACUGCGAAAGCAUUCCGCUAGGACAUAUUCAUCAAUCAAGAACGAAAGUUGGGGGAUCGAAGACGAUCAGAUACCGUCGUAGUCUCAACCAUAAACAAUGCCGACCAAGGAUUGGAGAUUGUUAAAUUUUAAUGACUUCCCCAGCACUUUGCGAGAAAUCACAAGUCUUUGGGUUCCGGGGGGAGUAUGGUCGCAAGGCUGAAACUUAAAGGAAUUGACGGAAGGGCACCACCAGGCGUGGAACUUGCGGCUUAAUUUGACCCAACACGGGAAAACUUACCAGGUCCAGACAGCGUUAGGAUUGACAGAUUGAGAGCUCUUUCAUGAUUCGUUGGGUGGUGGUGCAUGGCCGUUCUUAGUUGGUGGUGUGAAUUGUCUGGUUGAUUCCGUUAACGAACGAGACCUUGACUUACUAAAGAGCAGCUGGAAGAUAUUGCAUUAAGGCUAUGGAUCGGUAUUUUCGGAAGGGUCAGUCCCCCGGAGAUAGUUGUUUUCAUGGUUGCUUUUUUUCCAGAAAGCUUCUUAGAGGGACUAUUAGUGACAAGCUAAUGGAAGUUCGAGGCAAAAACAGGUCUGUGAUGCCCUUCGAUGUUCUGGGCCGCACGCGUGUUACACUGAUAAAGUCAACGAGUUUAGAACCUUCUCUGAGAGGAGUGGGUAAUCUUUUCAAACUUUAUCGUGAUGGGGAUAGAUGAUUGCAAUUAUUCAUCUUCAACGAGGAAUGCCUAGUAAGCGCGAUUCAUCAUAUCGCGUUGACUGCGUCCCUGCCCUUUGUACACACCGCUCGUCGCUCCUACCGAUUGAAUGCUCCGGUGAAAUCUUCGGAUUGUGAGAAGCUAACUUUUGCUGACUUUGUCGGCAAAGACUCUUGUAAAAAGUUGAUUAAAUCUUAGCAUUU
rnacentral:rRNA from 1 species